rnacentral:rRNA from 1 species
AACGAACGCUGGCGGCAGGCUUAACACAUGCAAGUCGAACGCACUCUUCGGAGUGAGUGGCAGACGGGUGAGUAACGCGUGGGAAUCUACCCAGCCCUUCGGAAUAGCUCCGGGAAACUGGAAUUAAUACCGAGUACGCCCUACGGGGGAAAGAUUUAUCGGGGUUGGAUGAGCCCGCGUUGGAUUAGCUAGUUGAUGGGGUAAUGGCCUACCAAGGCGACGAUCCAUAGCUGGUCUGAGAGGAUGAUCAGCCACACUGGGACUGAGACACGGCCCAGACUCCUACGGGAGGCAGCAGUUGGGAAUCUUGCACAAUGGGGGAACCCUGAUGCAGCGACGCCGCGUGGAGGAUGAAGGGUCUAGGCCUGUAAACUCCUUUUAUGGGAAAGACUUAGGACGUACCCCAUGAAUAAGGACCGGCUAACUACGUGCCAG